CACAGCAAUUCGUGUCCUUUGAAUUUUGACUUUGCUAGAAUGUAUUAUGGAGUAUAUUUCCUUUUGAACUUUUCUUCUAUUGCAGGUCUUCAAUGACGGCCGUAAGAGCUGCAAGAAACAAAUACCUGCUAAAGAUUUUAGCCAAAAAAUAAACUUUGUUGUUCCUCACAAGGAAGUUAGCUAAUCUGAAUCCAAGAAGCAUUUCAACAUGGAUGUUUGAUCCCUCCAAGGAAGGAAGGAAGUCAAACAUAUAGGACUAUUGACGAGUUUUUGGCUUCGUGAAUAUAAUUGUUCAUGAUUCUCUGACAGCCUGAGAUGAGGAUCGUUGUAUCAUACUAAUAAAAGUAGUUGCAGGGUUUGGAUUUCAAAGUUAUGAAGGUGGUAUAGAGGAAAUUUAGUUCCUCUAAAUACGUUGAAAAUAUCUAAAGUCACGUUGUACUAAAGAAUUUACUAUAAACAUUAUUCCUAUAUCAAUUUGAAACAAUAGUUCAAUA